ACCACAAAUUAUAUAAAUCGACAAAAUAGUUUUUUACAUAGUAUUUGUGCUCAUUAGAGUACUUGGGUCACACUGUGUUAAGUUAGUUAAUGUGUGAGACGCAGAAAUUAGAUGACCAUCAGUCAGCGAGUCCUUGCCUCUUCCCUCAAAUAACCAUUUACUGUAAGUGAAAACGACACAAUCAGACUAAAUGUUGGACUUCAUAAACGCUUAGGAGUUUAUCGUCCAUAUGACAGCUUUAAUUAAAGUCAUAUAGGAGAAGAUUUGACUCUACAACAGCUCAGAAGUCAAAACAAAUCCGCUGAUCUGAUGUGGAGCUCAUCAUUACUGCUAUUUGAACGUGUUUGUCGAUCUUUUAUGAAUGACAAAGAGGAGGAAUCAGCAGUGAAAUGCAGGAAUAUAGAGUUUAAAAUGUUAAUGAACAAAGGAUAAAGUGUUUCACAAAUCUAGAGAAAGCCAUACAUCGAAUCUUUGUAGGACUUUACUGCCAUCUUGUGUCAUAACAGAAAAUUUUUGUGAGCAGGAAACUUUUCUUUUCUGUUGUGAGGAUGUUGUUUUAGUACAGAGUUUCCCAAACUGGCCUUCGUGAAGGAACUUCAGAGGGUUUUCUCUGCGUCUGAGAUGAUCCACGUGAGUUUUCUGCUGCUGGAACGGUGGAACAUUGCCCCUGAGUAGUUAAACGGUCUGCUGCUCAGGACUGAACUGUGAUUGCCAUUAAGGGUCAUUGUGAUUCUCAGGAAAGGCCCCUGAUCUGCUGUUGUCAGGCCAAGAGGAGUGUUUCCUCGCUGUGAUCCAGGGAGCUGUUGAGCUUCACUUGAGCUCAAUGCUUCAAAACAUAAAUGUUAGAGCUGCUUCCUUAAUGUGCUGUGCAGUGGAAGUCUCUCGCUCACGGCCUCUGUGACCUGCAGCUCCUGAACCUCAGCUGCCACUGAGAGCUUUAACCCACGUUCUUACAGACCGGAAGCGCUACAGGAACACACGGCAUGUUUUUACUGAAUGCAGUGGGAAUAUUUCAACUACUGUGCUGAUAAUGUUACGCAAUCCGCCUGAAACACAGCACAGAGUGUGAGUACCACGUUCAGAUAUUGCGUAAUCUGUUAAAGUCAACAAAAAAUGGCAUUCGCAAUCCAUUUUACUUUGGUAAUGUGGAGCAUUUCUGUUAAACAGGAUGUGCAACAAGAAAAAAAAUUUGGUCAGGACUUGAUGUUUGUCAUCAGGGAUUGAUUGGAUGGUAAAAUAGGGGUGAGGCUGAAAAUAAAAGGGCUUAAUGAUGUCAUCAGGAAAGGAAGAUCGCUUCAGAGCUAAAAUAUUUGGGCCUAAAUUUAAGAUUCAUGUAUUUGAAUUGCAGAUAAAAUCCAUCUGUUUGGAUCACAUAGUUUUAACGUAACUAAUAAACUUAAUGUGAUGCAUAUUUGUCAGACAUACUGUAAAUGAAACAGCUUCAUUUCUGUAAUAGUCCUAAUAAACUGAAUGUAUUUUAAAUGCACAGUAACCAGGUUUAUAUAUUUAUCAUCAAUAAAUCCAAUUUGUCAAUCUCAUUCAUUUUAACUAAGUGAAUAUUGCUUGUUUUACAGCAAGCCAUUUUUUUUAACAAUGUUCUUACUUUUUAACUGAAUAAAAGUAAUUGUUUUCACAAUAAACAGAUUUAUACUGAA